GUAAAUCUUGGUGAAACUGUUCGAGCAAGACUCCAGCAAUUUUCAAUGAUGAAUAAAUUUAAAAAGAAAGCUCUUAGGGUGAUAGCUGAACACUUGUCUGUGGAGGAGAUUGCCGACAUAAAGGAAAUGUUUGAGAAUA